CGUAUAUACAUAUAUGUGUGUAUGCGUACGUAUAUACAUAUAUGUGUGUAUGCGUACGUAUAUACAUAUAUGUGUGUAUGCGUACGUAUAUACAUAUAUGUGUGUAUGCGUACGUAUAUAAAUAUAUGUGUGUAUGCGUACGUAUAUACAUACAUGCAUGUAUAUACAUAUAUAUGGGUAUACAUACAUGUAUAUGUAUGUAUGUAUUUUUUUUUCCCAAUGCUGUGAAUUGCUUUGCCUGCUAUGAAGGACCAAAUGCUAUUUUUUCCAGGCACAACUUAAUAUUUUAUUAACUAAAUUAUACUAAAUGUUACCAGUUGCCUAGGGUAAUGUCAUAGUAAGUACUCUGAGAUAAAUUCUUGUCUGCUGUAGGAUUCCUUAAGCUGAAGUCUAUGUUAACUCAGCCAGCACUCCAGCGAUCAGGGUGAUUUUGCUGUGCCACAAAUAUGCCCAGUUUACUGCAUUCUUCUUCAAGGCACUUACCCUCUCUUUAAAGCCUUGAUAACAUUUCCCCUUCUUCCUUUAUGAGCACUUUCAAAGUCUUAAACAUUUUCACCUGAUGACUUCAACAGGUGCAUGUUGGGGACUUGGCAGCUGUGGUUUUCGUCACACACACAGCCGACAUCUGAACAAAGGCACAGACAUUCCUAACCACAAUCCACACAUUGCUUACCUAUUUCCAUCCUCAAAAACUUAAAUUAAUGGAUUUUAAAUUUCUUAAUAUUCCUAGAGAGAGAAAAAGGGCAGGCCCAGGAAUUUAGAUACAAGCCUACAUUCAAAUAACACAUUUCAAUUAGGAGAAUGUAAAAUAUAAACUCUCCUACUAUAUAUAUACUUGAACACUAGAGGGAAAAUCACCCAACAUGUUAAAUAAAAAUUCCACAAGGUAGAUAUUGUAUAGUGUAUCUUUAACUGAAAACACUUCAUGCAACUUUUAUAGUUUCCACGUGCAGCCUAAGCCCUAAUCUGUUUCAAUAAAAUAAAUGUAUGUUGGCUGGGUAUGGUGGCUCACACCUAUAAUCCCAGCAUUUUGGGAGGCCGAGGCAGGCAGAUCACUUGAGGUCAGGAGUUCAAGACCAGCCUGGCCUACAUGGCGAAAACCCUUCUCUACUAAAAAUACAAAAAAAAAAAAAAAAAAAAAAAAUUAGCCAGGUGUGGUGGCAGGUGCCUGUAAUCCCAGCUACUCGGGAGGCUGAGGGAGGAUAAUUGCUUAAACCCAGGAGGCAGAGGUUGCAGUCAGCUGAGAUUGUGCCACUGCACUCCAGCCUGACAGAGGGCGACUGCAUUUCAAAACAAUAAAAAAUAAAAUAAAUAGAGUAAGUGUAUGUAUAGAUUAAAAGUCACCUCUAAUGAAUUAAAGGACACCCAUAAUUAUAACAUGCAAGGGAAAAUAUUAAUAUUUCAGAUGUAUAUACCAAUGAAAACUGGAAAUAAGAACUUGAUUUUAAAAGGUAGCAGUAUCUGAAUUGAAAUAACUAAUUUAACUCUAUGAUG
rnacentral:lncRNA from 10 species